rnacentral:lncRNA from 1 species
UUCUGCAAUGAAGGCCAAUUAGGUUUUGUCAAAGAGUUAAGGUAUUUUUCCUCUUACUCUGAUACUACAUGGAGAAUGAAUGUUCGGUUAUUGGUCAAAUAUUAGGACUCUAUAUAUAUAGCUAUAUAUGAAUAAUAAAAGGAAAUACAAUUAAUUACAAAUAGAGAGGCAUACACCUGAUGUAACUUUUACCCUACUUUUAUAUGCACUUACUAACAACACAUCCUCCUGAGUUUUCAACAAAAACAAAAAGAAGAUUCCUUUACAGAACAUAAAUGAAGAGAUUGUAUGGGCUAUUAAUAAACAAAGAUGAUCGUUUCCCAGUUUUGACAAGACCUGAAAUAGCUAUCUAGAGAAACAUCUAUGUGCCUUGACCGAAAAAUGUUGCCAAAAUAGUUAUUCUAUCCCAUAUCUCAUGAAAAGAUGUAUUUCUGUCAUUAUAGAUUCUUCAAUUCCUUGUAAGUCAUAGUAUUCAUAAACCAGGAUCAUAAAAACUCUGUUAUCUAUAGAAGAUUAAUUCUUUUUUUUUUUUUGAAAUAAGAUAGAAGAUUAAUUCUUGAAGUACACAAGUGUAUAAGUCCAAGAAACUGAAAUUCACAUAAGCUUAUAUGCUAUCCAUGGAUUUAAACUAAAGAUUUUUUUGUGCUGGCCAAACCAUGUAGGGCCCGCAACAAGAAUUGGAAAAUCAACCUUGAGGAGACUUUUGUUUGUUUCUAUUAAAGAUGAAAGUAAAUCAAAGUAUGAAAAGGAAGUAAAUUAGGACAUUAAAAAGGAAAUAAAUCAAGGCAUCAAACAGAAAGUAAAUCAGAAUGUUAACAAAUUAAUAAUCAGAAUUAUUGAAGCUUAAGAAAAUCAGAAUAUAAUUACAUAUCUGUAGUUAUGUUUUUUUUAGACAACACAUCUGUAAUUAAUUGUAAUUAAUUACCUAUUUCUUUUUUUUAUCCUAGAAAACUUGUAGAUAUAUAGGGCAGUAUUAUUUAACAAAAGAUAUCAAUGAAAACUAUUCUUAAGAAUUUUAAGUUAAGAAAUUCCUUUACUCCUUUACAAAUUCUAUUCAACUUUUAUAGCCCGCCACCACCCUCUUGUCGCCAGACACCAUGAGCCGACCUUUAUAGUUGGCCCCAGAACCAGCUGCUACUCCCUGCAGUUGCUAGUCUCCAACAAUUGUCCACAAACACACUGAUGUGAGCAAGGAUAGAAGCAAAAAUUUCCUGAAGGCACCAAUUUCCCACAAGAUGCAGAAAUCCAACGAACAGCCAAGAUCCUGCAGGAUAGUUACUCGCGAGCACACAGCUGCAUGGAAAGAAGGGCGCACGCACGUGCACGCAACACAGCAACUGUGCGCGCGCAAACACGAAGACUCCAUGCGUGCGCGUACCACAGCACGCAAGGUGCAGCUUCGCGCGUGCACAAGAUCCUCGAGAAAAGAAGUUUACCCACGAGAAGGGAGAAUCCCACUCCCGCAAGGACUCCCACGAGUCCAAAUCGGCAAGG